GCCAGCCAGCCGGGCAGGCAGACUGGGAGAGGACGACUGGUUGUGGGCCUACAAAAUAACAAGCCCAUCUCCACAGUGAGAGAGUCAUCCUGUCCCAUGAGCAGAAAAACACCUCCAAAGCAUGAUGCUACCACCCCGUGCUUCACAGUAGGGAUGGUGUUUUUGGGAUGGAACUCAUCAUUCGUCUUCCUCCAAACACGUUCAGGAUAGGCACUCCCGUGACCCUUGUGAGGAUAAGCGGCUCAGAAAAUAGAUGGAACUGCACAACAUGGAUCUCUUGCGGUUCAUGGACGAUGAUGGAAGAUGCUACUUAUGAAUAAAGGGUACCAUUUUGAUUUUGGGCUGUACUGUUUCAUUUACACAACAGUGACUCAAACAAUCUUCUUC